rnacentral:rRNA from 1 species
GAGGAAUAUUGGACAAUGGGCGUAAGCCUGAUCCAGCCAUGCCGCGUGCAGGAAGACGGCCCUAUGGGUUGUAAACUGCUUUUAUACGGGAAGAAACAACGCCACGUGUGGCGUCUUGACGGUACCGUAAGAAUAAGGAUCGGCUAACUCCGUGCCAGCAGCCGCGGUAAUACGGAGGAUCCAAGCGUUAUCCGGAAUCAUUGGGUUUAAAGGGUCCGUAGGUGGACGAUUAAGUCGGAGGUGAAAUCCUGCAGCUCAACUGUAGAAUGGCCUUUGAUACUGGUUGUCUUGAAUCAUUGUGAAGUGGUUAGAAUAUGUGGUGUAGCGGUGAAAUGCAUAGAUAUCACAUAGAAUACCGAUUGCGAAGGCAGAUCACUAACAAUGCAUUGACACUGAUGGACGAAAGCGUGGGGAGCGAAC